CGCGAAUAGCUCAUUACAACAGCUAUAAUUUACUUGAUCUUGACAAUCCUACUUGGAUAACUGUGGUAAUUCUAGAGCUAAUACAUGCACCAAAGCUCCGACCUUGCAGAAGGGAGGAGUGCAUUUAUUAUUUGAAAACCAAGCGGCUUCGGUCGUUUUUUGUUGACUCAGAAUAACUAAGCUGAUCGCAUGGUCUUGUACCGGCGACGUGUCUUUCAAGUAUCUGCCUUAUCAACUUUCGAUGGUAGUGUAUUUGACUACCAUGGUGGUGACGGGUAACGGAGGAUAAGGGUUCGACUCCGGAGAAGGGGCCUGAGAAAUGGCCACUACGUCUAAGGAUGGCAGCAGGCGCGCAAAUUACCCACUCUCAGAACAUUGAGGAGGUAGUGACGAAAAAUAACGAGACCGUUCUCUACGAGGCCGGUCAUCGGAAUGGGUACAAUCUAAACCCUUUAACGAGUAUCUAUGAGAGGGCAAGUCUGGUGCCAGCAGCCGCGGUAAUUCCAGCU
rnacentral:rRNA from 1 species